rnacentral:lncRNA from 1 species
CUGUACAUUGAAAUCUCAUGCCCAAUGCAUCUACAACAUCUUCCAAUCGUCCAAACUUCCAAUUCCAUAUUACCUUGAAAAGAUUCCACUGCAACUUCCUUGCCUCUCCAACUCACUAACCUUCUUUAAAACCCUAAUCUCACAAUCUAUGGCUCUUCAAUUUGGUCUCUGAGCCUCCAUUAACACCCUCAUUGGGAACAUUGUUCUUCCCUGUAAAAACCAAAUUGAAAGGGUCAGAAAACACAAUCAAAUAAAAGUACCUUGCACGUUUAUGCACACAGUUAAAAACCAGCAAUGGAAGUUAAAAAACCUAAAAACAAAUGUACAUGAAUUUGAAGGAAAUGCAUGCUGCAAAAAUGAUAAAGAGGGAAAAUCCCUAAUUUCGGGAAGGAAUUGAAACUGGUGCUAAACCUUGGGUUAGCUAUUGAUCACGAUGAGCAUCGACCUUGGUGAAGCCAAAGGGCCAACCCCAUGUUAAGCGUUCAGGGCCUCAAACUAUGAAUAUGAAUUCAUAGAAUUCCUAAAGAGAAAGAGAAAAAGGGAGUUGCAAGAGCGAGGAGAGGAGAAGAAGAAUGCAUGGGUGUGUUGGGUUUUGCAGGAGAGACUAUGGAGGUGGUGAGGUGAGUAGAGAGAGAGUAGAAAGAGGCAGGUAGAGAGAGAAAAAAAGAGGGUAGUAG